CCGCUUUUCACAGAUGGAGUAUUGGCUAACGCUCAGGGUGUUUGUCCCCCUGGAAUGCCGGGAGGCGCUUUGUUGGUAGCCUUUGGUUUCCUCCUGACACACUUCACUGCAUGGACAGAUGUUUUAAUCCGUAUUUUUCCGGAGGAAGACCAAGUUAUUCGUGGCUAGCCUACUGGACUCCACGUCUGUUGCUGCUUGUGUGUCCAGGUUAGCUCCCGCUCGCCUCAGGUGGGGGCUCAUUAAAUGUGAGACGUCGCUCGUCAGCACUGUCACCCCGGAGGGAAAGCAAGCCUGGGGCCUGCAGACAGACAGGGCUGCGUGCGGCGCCGGUACUGAGAGAAAUUCCAGCCCCGCCGCGGCUUCUCCGCUUCGUCAGGAGACGCGAACACCCAACACGGCUGAGCCGCCCCGCCCGCGGAGGCUGCUGUAACCUGCCGAAGGAAGGGAGCGAGCAUUGACUCAGCGUAAACACAUUCUCUGUUGCUAACUGGUCACCUGCUCAGGGCCAGGACUUGUUCCAGCAGCCUGUUAAAACAUGGUGGAUUACUAUGAAGUUCUAGGCGUGCAGAGACACGCCUCGGCCGAGGAUAUUAAAAAGGCAUACAGGAAACUGGCACUGAAGUGGCAUCCAGAUAAAAAUCCUGAGAACAAAGAAGAAGCAGAGAGAAAAUUCAAGCAAGUAGCUGAGGCGUAUGAAGUGUUGUCAGACGCUAAAAAACGGGACAUCUAUGACAGAUACGGCAAAGAAGGAUUAAACGGUGGCGGUGGAGGUGGAAGUCACUUCGACAGUCCAUUUGAGUUUGGCUUCACAUUCCGAAACCCAGAUGAAGUCUUCAGGGAAUUUUUUGGUGGAAGGGACCCAUUUUCAUUCGACUUCUUCGAAGACCCGUUUGAGGACUUCUUUGGGAAUCGAAGGGGCCCCCGUGGAAGCCGGAGCCGAGGCACGGGCUCGUUCUUCUCUGCUUUCAGCGGAUUUCCCCCCUUUGGAGGGGGGUUUCCUUCCUUUGAUGCAGGGUUCGGUUCCUUCGGCUCACUAGGCCACGGGAGCCUUACGGCGUUCUCCUCCUCCUCGGCCUUCGGCGGCAGUGGGAUGGGCAACUACAAGUCCGUAUCGACGUCGACGAAAGUGGUGAACGGCAGGAAGAUCACCACCAAGAGGAUUGUCGAGAAUGGUCAAGAAAGGGUGGAAGUUGAAGAAGACGGCCAGUUGAAGUCCUUGACGAUAAAUGUGGAGUGGAAGCCUGGCGUCCUGUGUGCCCCACACGGCGGGCCUGGUGUCUCCAGAGAGCUUCGUGCCCAGACAGACGGCAGGUGUGGCCGACGAGGACGCCUUCGCGGAGGAGUGCCUGCGACGAGGCCAGAGCGCGCUGCCCGCCCAGCCCGCCAGCUCCAGCGCCCGCUCGCUGCGGCCGCCGCGGCCCGCGCCCCCGCCCCGGCCGGCAGCGCACGCCGCGGGGGAGGACGAGGACGCGCCGGGCGCCUUCUGCGCAGGAUUCAAAGAAGGCGGCAAGAGGAAGAAGCCGAAGCACAGAGAGGAGUCGAAGAAGAAGAAGUCGACCAAGGGCCCCCUCUAGACGGCUGCGGCGGAGCAGCCGAGGGCACUCGCGUGCGGCCCGCCUCCUGCGGGGGGCGCAUGGGGCGGGGGGCGCAUGGGGCCGGGGGCGGGGGGGGGGGGGGGCGGGGGGCGGAGCCGCCGGCCGCCCCUGCCCCUCCCGCCGCGCCCGCGCGUCCCCCCUGGCGGCCACGGCCCCCCGCUGCCCGGCACACACGCGGGGUCCCGCCGCCCCGGCCGUGCGUGGCUCGGGCGUGUGUGCAUGCUCUGACACGCCCUCUCCUCCUGCCGCUGCGUGUGUGA
rnacentral:lncRNA from 1 species